rnacentral:rRNA from 1 species
AUGACGAGGCAUACAGUUUGCAAAAGAACAUCCUCAAACCAUAUCCACGGGAAACCAAUCACGAAUGCAAGAUCAAACAUUAAAUUGGAAGACCUUCCACAGGAUGUGCUCUGCACAAUUGUAUUGAAGUUGCCUCCUAAAGAGGUCUCAAGGGCUAGUGUUUUGUCAAGUAGUUGGAGAUAUAUCUGUGCUACUUGUUGCUAUAAAUUAUGUUUCACUGUUCCUGCUGGGUAUCCCCAUCGUAUUCUUGAAAGAAAAGAAUACUGCCAACGCAUGCAGGAAUUCAUCAAUAAUGUUAACGCGGUAGUGAGAAAUUGCCAUGGCAAGUUGAUUGAAGAAUUCAAUAUAAAAUUUCAGUUUGACAGCAUGUUCGUUGAUCAUCUGAAUGAUUGGGUUAAUUUUGCGGUAUCACCGCAGAUAAGGAAGAUAGCUUUCUACUUAUGUCCAGUUAACCUGGGGGUUUUGGAUCCUGAUCAUUACAUAUUUCCAUUUCACCUCUUGGAUAGUGAAAGCAUAUCACGUCUAGAGUGCAUUCAACUUAGCUUUGUAUCUUUGGGACCACCAUCGGAAUUCAGUGGUUUCCCAAGCUUAAGAAAGCUUGACCUAGAAUUCGUGGAUAUCACUAGAACGGAUCUUGAAGUUAUAUUGUCCAAUUGCUGUUAUCUUAAAUGGUUAAGCCUAGUCAGAUGCUAUGUGAAGGACGAGCUAAAGUUGGAUCGUCCGUUGUCCAACCUUCGACACCUAGCAGUUGUAUGGUGUGACAUAACCAGGAUAGAACUUCCAAUUCUGAAACUGGAUACAUUUGUAUAUCAUGGACACAUUGUUCCAAUUGUUAUAAAUCGAGAUUCCAUGUUGGAAAAUGCACAACUAUGGCUCUUCAAGGCAAAUUUCGAUGAUGCUGUCAGUGUAGUUCUCAAUGGUAUUCCGAGGGUGCAAAAUCUGACGCUACAAAUUUUGAAACUGGGAAUAGAGAUGCAACCACUGUUGAAUAGCACAUGCAUGUUUUCCCAUCUUAGGUGCUUACAGUUGUUAUUGGGUAUAACACUUGUAGAUAUAAACAAACUUCCCCGUGUAGUUUCCAUUCUGAGAGCAGCUCCAUCAAUUGAGAAGUUAGAGAUCCAUUUUUCCGGUGGUAGUCAUCUUUGUUUAGGGGACAAGGGUACUGUGGACAAGCCACAGUACCUUGAGCACUGUGAAUAUAAUUAUCUGAAGAGUGUGCAUAUGACAGGAUAUAAAGGGGCAGAAGGUCAACUUGAAUUUCUUGUGCAUGUUGUGGAAAAGGCCCCUGCGCUGGAGGCAUUAACUGUGGACACAGCUCUAGUGCUUCACGAUGAUGCUUAUGUACAACAUUUUUGCGGAAAAAAUGGAUGCUCCAACCGCGCUGCCCUGCACGCUAGAUCUUGUCUGGGUGCAAUACUUUCACCAAACGUGAAGUUUUGUGUUAUGUAG